GACGAACGCUGGCGGCGUGCUUAACACAUGCAAGUCGAACGGAAAGGCCCCUUUGGGGGUACUCGAGUGGCGAACGGGUGAGUAACACGUGAGUAACCUGCCCUUGACUUCGGGAUAACUUCAGGAAACUGGGGCUAAUACCGGAUAGGAAUCCUUGCUGCAUGGUGGGGGUUGGAAAGCUUCGGCGGUUUUGGAUGGACUCGCGGCUUAUCAGCUUGUUGGUGGGGUAGUGGCUUACCAAGGCUUUGACGGGUAGCCGGCCUGAGAGGGCGACCGGCCACAUUGGGAUUGGGGUACGCCCCAGACUCCCACGGGGGGCAACGGGGGGGAAUUUUGCAAAAGGGGGGGAAGCCUUGUGCAGAAACCCCGCGUGCGGGAUGACGGCCUUCGGGUUGUAAACCGCUUUCAGCGGGGGGGAAGCUUGUGGUGACUGUACCUGCAAAAGAAGCACCGGCAAACCACGU
rnacentral:rRNA from 1 species